GCCGAGGUAGCCAAGUGGACUACGGCGCUGGUCUUGAGAACCAGUGAUGCUUUGGCAUCGCGCGAGUUCGAAUCUCGCCCUCGGCG
rnacentral:tRNA from 1 species